UCUAUUUGGGUAUAUUCGAAGUUUUCAAGUGAAAAAGUGUUGAAGAGCAAUUUUUAUUGCUUAAUUCAUACAAAUAUAUUGGUUAAUGAGGAAGAACAAAUUUUACCCAAAUUCCUAAAUUAUCUGAAAAAGUGAGCAGAAUUUGGCAGAUUGUUUCUAACGAAACUAAUCAUGGAUAUUUUUAAGUCAUUACUUUCAAAACCAACAGAGAAUAAUGAUGUGGCCUAUUGUUAAAGAAUAUGAGCAGGUAUUCAUACAAAUAUGGCGAUAGAGAGCUUGAAUAAAUAUCUGAAAUCUAAUAAAAUAGAAGGAAAAGAAAAUAAGAGUUGAAAAGCUAUCAGAUUUGUUGGAAGAAAUAGUUGAUGAGAAGAUGUGGAUGAAAAUUUAUGAGAAAUGAAAGACCUAACUCCAACAGCUAUCAACAAAAAAUUUCUGUAGAAUCUCAAAAAAGCAGAAACAAUGAAAGCCUUAAUAGAGGAGGUCUGAAUAUGAUGAUAAAUAUUAUAAUACACAAUUUAUAUCAUCAUGUGAUCCAGAUUGUGGUUUAGGAUAUUGUAGUCAUUGUUAAAUAUGCUUGCACAAAUAUAAAUAUGACGACAACAAUUUAGAAAUUAUUGAGCCAUCAACAAGUUAACUAUAAUGAAGAUGUGGGACAUUUUAUAGAUGAAACCAUUUCUAGUUCACAAAAUUUCACAUCUAUAAGCAAUGACACAGAAAAUGAUUUGCUGAAAUGUGUAAAACAAUUGAAGACUCUCAAUGCAGAAGGAAAGAGGAGAUUAUUUGCAACUAUCAAUGGAAAAUUUUCCAAACAUAGGGUCAAUGCCAAGAAGAACUAACAUCUAAGAAGUGAAAAUUGAGAAGUAAAUCUAUUUCCCAAGAAAAAAAAUGAAUACAGAGACUACCAGAACUUCAUAGCAAAUAAUUUAGAACAUUGAAAUGAGAUUGACAAAAAAAUCGAGGUAAUAAAGUCUAACUGAACCAGCAUGUUACACAUAUAAGAGACGUACAAUGUUCAAAUGUGGAUAGAAGAACCAGUCAAUAUCAAAAUAAAAUAUGACAUACAUCCUUUACAUAAAUUAAUGAAAUUAAUUAUAAUUAAUAUAUUAUAUAAUAAUAUAAUAUAAUUAUAUAUAAUUUUGAACAACUGUAAGUUUUCUUACAAUAAACUACUUCCUGUAUUGA